rnacentral:rRNA from 1 species
AUGUCUAAAUUCCCAGCAGGGAAAAAAAUACAUCGGGCCAAAUAUGCUGCAUGUUGGGCCAACCGAGAGGAGGGGCUGGGGGUUUCUCACCAUGGGCCAUGGCCCGGUCAGUGGAGAUGCUGCUGGCUGGAGUCGUGGUCAACGGGCGAAGGGGAGGCGCUGGGAUACGCGAUGCAAGCGGGGCGCAGUCAACGCAGGCAGGGGAUCGAGCGGGACUUGGUGCUGGCCUCGUCCUUGAUGCAGAGAAAGCAGGGCGCGGCAACACUGGACGGGAAGGCAGCAGCGAAGUCCGGCGAGGCAGGGGGACUUGGGCGACGCGGGAAGCAGAGGAGGUCGAGGCGCCAUGGCAGUAGAGCGACAACGGCGGCGGAACUUGGGGCACCAGAGGUGGGGACGGGGCCCUGCUGGCGGGAUCCGUCUAGGAACGAGCAAUGGCGAUGGAGGAGGAGCUCUGCUCCGGCGAGCUGGUGA